UACGUAGGGGGCAAGCGUUGUCCGGAAUUACUGGGCGUAAAGCGAGUGUAGGUGGUUGUCGUAGUCAGGCGUGAAAGCCUUGAGCUCAACUCAAGAAAUGCGCUUGAUACUGGGCAGCUAGAGGACCGGAGAGGAUGGUGGAAUUCCCAGUGUAGUGGUGAAAUACGUAGAGAUUGGGAAGAACACCAGUGGCGAAGGCGGCUAUCUGGACGGUUUCUGACACCAAGACUCGAAAGCGUGGGGAGCAAACAGG
rnacentral:rRNA from 1 species